AUUGAACGCUGGCGGCAGGCCUAACACAUGCAAGUCGAGCGAGCGGCGGACGGGUGAGUAAUGUAUGGGGACUGCCUGAUAGCGGGGGAUAACUACUGGAAACGGUGGCUAAUACCGCAUACUAUCGGAUAACCCAUAUGGGAUUAGCUAGUAGGUGGGGUAAAGGCUCACCUAGGCGACGAUCUCUAGCUGGUCUGAGAGGAUGAUCAGCCACACUGGGACUGAGACACGGCCCAGACUCCUACGGAGGAAGCAGUGGGGAAUAUUGCGCAAUGGGCGCAAGCCGGGUGCAGCCAUGACGCGGGUAUGAAGAGGGCCUUAGGGUUGUAAAGGACGUUCAGCGGGGAGGCGGUAGCCGCAGAAGAAGCACCGGCUAGCUCCGUGCCAGCAGCCGCGGUAAUAC
rnacentral:rRNA from 1 species